rfam:Ciona savignyi cont_51158, whole genome shotgun sequence.
AAGUCAGAAUCCCGCCUGGAAAGCGACGAUGCAUUCGUGCCUCGGCCUCGAGAGGCGUAGCUAGACGGCCGCGUGGCCGUGGAAAGAGCCCGAUUCCGACCCGAGAGGCCGCGGCAAGAGGCGGCCUCGAAGUCGGUGGAUCCUCCUGCUCGAAAGGCGGGGUGCUAAACCAUUCGCAGACGACCUAGUUGAAGAUCGGGGUGUCGUGAUCACUAGAGCAGUACAUCUCACUGCGAUUUGUUGAGAGUAAGCCUCAAGAUCUGUCGGUUUGU